AGACUGCGAGAGAGGGAGAGCAAUGGUCGAGAACGCGGCGACCGGCAGAGGGGAAAAGGGUAGAGAAGGAGAGAGACAGAGAGAGAGAGAACAACGGCUGAGAACGCGGCGACGGGACAGUAGAAAUCAGGCGGGAAGGUAGGAUGGAAGGGAGGCCUGUCACAAGUGGCGGUGCAAGGGAAGGCGAGAGAUCGGAAGAAGCGCUUCAGGAUCCACGUAUUCUUGUUCGAGGAUCCACGAGGCAGCACCAGGCCACAGCAUCUGAAACGAGGUGUCAGAAGCCAGUUGAAAUAGGAAGAGACUCUUGUGAAGGGAACCAUGGAGAAAGGAAGUUGAGAGACGGACAGAUUACAAGAGUUGCUUCAGGUUCCACUUUUUUUCCUUUUUUGGCGCGAAGAUGAACUCUCACGGCCUUCAAUAUCUCCCUCGCUUUCUCUCUCAUAGACCAUCUCUGAUCUGUAUUCUCGGGCUACCAAUUAGGUUGUGGAACCCAAGUAGAUGGAUUCAAGUUCCUGAGGUCUACCUAGGAGAUGAGAGGUAAUGAUGGAGAUGGAGCAUAAAACAUCCAUCCAGGCGACUCUCUCUCUCUGAUGACAUUUGUAGCUCUUGGACCAUGAAUUAACCCUUCUCCAGCGAACCAGCCAAGCUUCUAUUAAGGGAGGUGGGGAGCAAACAGUAGAUUCGUCAUCCUGAGUUUGAUUUGGGAAAUGCAUAGCUCGAGAGAAGGAUCCGCGAGAGAGAGAGAGAGAGAGAGAGCUUUUUCAAGCAGGGGAAAUUAACACCGCGAGACACAGAAGGUUUGGUGACUAAAAAUUGAGCAAUUUCCCUAGGGAUAGGAAUGAUGGUUAUAUUCUAGAAAUCUAUCUUAAUAGAAGGCACAUGGAAGCUGAACUACCCUGCAGAAGAUUAUUUUCCUCCUCCGGUAACCUAAGUGAAGCUCUAUUGCAAUAGCCUGUGAUACGUGGAAGUCAAUUGUCGGAGACAGGAGCAUCGCACAUGCUGCAAUGAGGAGCUUUAUGGUUUCAUUUAUGCUAGGCCGCUUUUCAUUCGUGCCUGGAGGAAGAAAAGCAAAAGUUGGUGCACUUGGUUGAGCUUAGAGGCUGAUGUUAUGUACCAGACAAGCAAGCUUUCUCUCCAUCUCUCUCUCUCUCUCUACGUUGGGGAUCUCCCAUCUUUGAUACCAAAUCUGGUAUUUUACAUGCCUCAAAAGAUGGUACAGGACGUGUGUCACGCCAUGUCUCAUGCCCUUUAUAUGAUUAAAAUUUAACUGUGGUUACAUCUACAGGGAACCGAACUGCUACUUUUGAGAAGUUUACAUGCAUUCGUGCGAUUAUUGAUUAACCUGACUUCAAAUAAGGGGAUAAGCCUUUUCCUCCUUCUCAAGCAUGCAUCGGUGAACAAAGCUUAUUUUGCAAGUAUACUUUUGCUCUCCUGCUCGGCAUACGUCCGUGGAAAGGCCACAUGUACAUUACAUUACCAUAAUAGAUCUUCAACAUUUUAAGGCUGUGAUUUAAGAGAUGGUUGCAUUGGAAUAUAUCUAUAUAUGUGAAGUAAAAUGGUGAUUCUAGUUUUUCAGAAUCACUCAGCCAUUUAAUCAGAGUUGUCU